rnacentral:rRNA from 1 species
GAGUUUGAUCCUGGCUCAGGACGAACGCUGGCGGCGUGCCUAAUGCAUGCAAGUCGAGCGACGAAUAGGUGCGGGUAACCAAGCCUAUUACGGAGCGGCGAACGGGUGAGUAACACGUGAGCAACCUGCCCCGAAGACCGGGAUAGCCCAGGGAAACUUGGAUUAAUACCGGAUAUCCUCUUUUGACCGCAUGGUCGUUGGAGGAAAUGCUUUUACGCUUCGGGAUGGGCUCGCGGCCUAUCAGCUUGUUGGUGGGGUAACGGCCUACCAAGGCGUCGACGGGUAGCUGGUCUGAGAGGAUGACCCCCCACACUGGGACUGAGACACGGCCCAGACUCCUACGGGAGGCAGCAGUGAGGGAUAUUGCACAAUGGGGGAAACCCUGAUGCAGCGACGCCGCGUGGGUGAUGAAGGCUUUCGGGUCGUAAAACCCUUUUCUAGGUGACGAGCAAGGACGGUAGCCUAGGAAUAAGUCUCGGCUAACUACGUGCCAGCAGCCGCGGUAAAACGUAGGAGGCAAGCGUUAUCCGGAGUUACUGGGCGUAAAGCGCAUGUAGGCGGUUGUUCAAGUGGUGUGUGAAAGCGCCCGGCUAAACUGGGCGAGGACACAUCAGACUGGACGGCUAGAGGGUGCUAGAGGGGCGCAGAAUUCGGGGUGUAGCGGUGAAAUGUGUAGAGAUCCCGAGGAAUACCAGUGGGGAAGCCGGCGCCCUGGGGCAUUAGUCGAAAGACUGUACUGACGCUGAGAUGCGAAAGCGUGGGGAGCGAACGGGAUUAGAGACCCCGGUAGUCCACGCCGUAAACGAUGU